ACAUGCCUACAACAUAGUGUUAAUGCAUUGUAUUCCAUUAGAACUCUGCAGUUAAAUGCGCUCAGGCUAGAGUAGUACUGGGAUGGGUGAUCGCCAGGGAAGUCCUAGUGUUUUACAUGCC
rfam:Picea glauca, whole genome shotgun sequence.